rnacentral:misc_RNA from 1 species
GUUCAGUGCUCCUUUAUUCACUUUUCCUCUAUUGCUAAAAUAGAAAGUUUAACAUAUCCAGUUAUACAAUUUAUUUAACAUUUUAUCAAUUAACGAACAGGUUAAGAAUGUAAUCUAUGAAUUGUCAUCAUCUUAAGUAAUUAUAAGUGACAUCCCCAAAUCGAUUUGUUGCCUCAGAUAACUAGAAUAUGAUAUGAACCAAGAGAAGCUUUGCAAGUAUUCAUGAUUCUGAAAUAUGUAUCUGGAUUGUCUCCACGUAGGCCUUCCUGAAAGCCCUUCUCAUGUUUGUCAAAUGUCCAAAUUCUCAGCCAUAUUUCAAUGUAUAACACGUUUGCUCAUACUUCAGAAUCUUAGAACCCGCGAGUGAACUUUUUCAAAAUCAGGCAAACUUCAAACCUGUAAUUUGAUAUUGCUAUAUUCAAAGGGCUGCAUUAUUUAAUGUAUAAUAGA